UCAUCCUCACUUUUUCUCCGAAAGAAUUAGUGACCCAUCUUUGUGGCUCUUCCCCGAAACGCUAGCCCUCUCCUCUUUCUCUCCCACUCUCUUUUCACGGCCACCACUGCCUCCAUCUCCUCCGCUCACUCCCUUACUGUCUCUCUCCCCCUCAUUAACUGCUAGCAAGCUCUCUCUCUAAAACCCUCUCCGUCUCUUUUUGGAAUUGACAUAGAUGAAGUCUAUACAGCCGCACCACAAGUUCUUACGGGAUAUGAUGGAGCCUCCCCAGUCGCCAAACCCUAGCUCCGGCAAGCCUCCAAGGAGAACGUGCCUCUGACUUCAGAUCUAACUAUACGGCCACCAAGUCCAACACUCCAACCAGACAGGAUCAUCAAAACCCUGGAGGUAAGCUAGUGUACCAGACCACUAAGAAGGGCAAGCGGACCCAAGUGUCUUGUUAUUGGCAAGAGUAUUCAAGGGUAUGCUCAUAUAAAAUGUGUCCAGAGGUGGUGCAAUGAGAAGGGAGAUAUCAUUUAUGAAAUCUGUCAUCAGCCUUAUCAACCUGGUUAUACUGCCCCAUCACCUCCCCCUUAGUUUUUGUAGAUUCCAGAACGAACUUCCA